rnacentral:rRNA from 1 species
UACGUAGGGUGCAAGCGUUAAUCGGAAUUACUGGGCGUAAAGCGUGCGCAGGCGGUUGUGCAAGACCGAUGUGAAAUCCCCGGGCUUAACCUGGGAAUUGCAUUUGUGACUGCACGGCUAGAGUGUGUCAGAGGGGGGUAGAAUUCCACAUGUAGCAGUGAAAUGCGUAGAUAUGUGGAGGAAUACCGAUGGCGAAGGCAGCCCCCUGGGAUAACACUGACGCUCAUGCACGAAAGCGUGGGGAGCAAACAGG